GCCCUCAUAGUUCAGUGGAUAGAAUAGAAGUUUCCUAAACUUUAGACAGAAGUUCGAGUCUUCUUGGGGGUAC
rnacentral:tRNA from 1 species